ACUUAGUUUAUUUUAAAACAUUUGCUUGUCAAGAAAAAAAUCUUUAUAUUCUCUUAAGAGU
rnacentral:tRNA from 1 species